rnacentral:rRNA from 1 species
GAUGAACGCUGGCGGCGUGCCUCAAACAUGCAAGUCGAGCGGGGCUAUGUUGGACCGUAAGGGAAGAUAUAGCCUAGCGGCGAACGGGUGAGUAACACGUGGGUAACCUACCUGGAAGACAGGGAUAACGAUUCGAAAGGGUCGCUAAUACCUGAUAAUAUCUAACAGUCGGAUGGCAGUUAGAAGAAAGGGGAAACCCGCUUUCAGAUGGGCCCGCGUCCCAUCAGCUAGUUGGUAAGGUAAAGGCUUACCAAGGCGACGACGGGUAGCCGGUCUGAGAGGAUGUACGGCCACACUGGGACUGAGAUACGGCCCAGACUCCUACGGGAGGCAGCAGUUGGGAAUCUUAGGCAAUGGGCGAAAGCCUGACCUAGCGACGCCGCGUGAGGGAAGAAGGCCUUCGGGUCGUAAACCUCUGUCAUGGGGGACGAAGGAAGUGACGGUACCCCAAGAGGAGCCCCUGCUAACUACGUGCCAGCAGGCCCGCGGUAAGUCACGUGUA